UACGGUGAAUACGUUCCCGGACCUUGUACACACCGCCCGUCAAGCCAUGGAAGCUGGGUGUACCUAAAGCCGGUAACCGCAAGGAGCCGCCUAGGGUAAACUAGUAACUGGGGCU
rnacentral:rRNA from 1 species